ACCUACGGGAGGCAGCAGUCGAGAAUCAUUCACAAGGGGGGAAACCCUGAUGCAGCGACGCCCCGUGAGUGAAGAAGUAUUUCGGUAUGUAAAGCUCUGUCAGCAGGGAAGAAAGAAAUGACGGUACCUGACCAAGAAGCCCCGGCUAACUACGUGCCAGCAGCCGCGGUAAUACGUAGGGGGCAAGCGUUAUCCGGAAUUACUGGGUGUAAAGGGAGCGUAGACGGUUAAGUAAGUCUGGAGUGAAAGGCCGGGGCUCAACCCCGGGAC
rnacentral:rRNA from 1 species